AUUCGUUUGAAGUUUUAUAAUAUCACAUUUUUAACAAAUUUCAUUUAUUAACUAAACUUGUUGAGGGAUUCUGUAGUGAACAAGAGAUCUCCGAAAAAUUCUUUCGAGUCAUCUUAUUCACCGUUCUGUCACAAUCGCUCGAGAUGAAACCGGAAGUCACGCGUUUACGUCCCCCCGUGAAGAUUGAUCGUUCGAAUCGCUUUCGAUCGGAAGGACAACCGGUACGAAACCUUCAGCGUUUAGGUCUUUCUUCCUUAUCUCCUUGCCAGACAUCGUCCUUGAUGAAAUCUUUAGAAACAGUCCUUUAGAAAGGUGAAGCACCAUCAGUCGCCUCGCGUCCAUCCUCCUCGUCGCCUCGAAUAUUCGCGUCACAUUUAGUCUCCUCUAUUAAUCACACGCGGCACCUCUUGCGACUCUUAAUCGCGUUUCCAAGUUUUCUUCUUUUUUCGUCAGACGACGUUCGACGUCCCCCGUCGUCGAGUCACUUCACAGCGACUGUUCGCGGCGCGAAACGUUUCAAGUUUAAGCUGCUUCGAAGUUCGCGUGGGUGGAUGUCAGAAAUGGGCAAAAUUUUAUUUGAAUAAUAAUAUUAUGCCUUCAUCCACGAAGAUACAACAUGUUCCUGUAGUUUUUUGAUAUUUGCAUGAGAGACGAAUAAAUUCAGGGUGAUGUGAAGAGACGAGGUCUUGGAGUGUGGGAAGCGGAGACUUGGGCGGAUUGCUUUUGUAGUGCGUGGACAUUUUUGUAAAUAGCUAUGCUCGCGAUUCUGUUGAUACUGAUGCCAACGCUUUGGCACGCUGCAGCUCAGUCCAGCGUGUUGGUAGCGGACACCACCAUGUCCAGAAUGGUGGAACUGAUCGCGGACGCGCCAUUCUGUGCUCUAUACACCGAUCGUGGCGUCAUACAAAGCAUGGUCCUCAGCGCAGACCCAAAGAAAGUCCGUCAAAUGUCCAGCAAUCUCGUCGCAGACCUUGUAGAAACUUGCAAAGCCUCUCGCGAUAAGGGAAAAAACCAAAAACCAGG